rnacentral:lncRNA from 1 species
CGAACCCUGAAUGUGCCUCAGUCUGUCAAACUGACAGUCAGAGGGAGGCCCUAGUCAGAGGGAGGCCCUAUUCUACACUCAGUAACCAGGGGACUCCUUUUCAUAAGUUCAUGUAAACUGCAAGGGGUACUUAAUAGUUUUGUUUUCAUUUCUUACCCCAAAACCUAUCUCCCACUAAGCCCUCUCUAUAAAAUGAAAAAAUUAAUAUCUGUUUCAACAGGAUUGCUGGGAAGAUCAAGGAAGAGAAAAUGAAUAAUAUAUGUAAGAGAACUUUGCACACUACAUAGCCCUACACAGAACGCAUUAUUACCAAGUAUUUUACAUUUAUAAAGUGCUUUUCAAAGCACUCUCCACUUAAAAUUCAAUUCACAAUCACCAGCUAAGGCUGAAGAUUCAGACACAAAAUCCCCGCCUGCAUGAAGCUCAUGUUCUGGACUCUAGAGGAAUCAGGUAAUCCUGUCUAUACCUGUGGAAAAUGCUGUGAAAACAUAGGAUGUUGCUACAAAGAAGUUGGCGUCCAAAUUAGAGAAAUGAGUGCAUCGCUCCUGUUCUCAGGACUCUGGAUUUCUGCAACCUUCUUAAAAUCUUUAAUGAAUAUUUGAAAUUAUCUCAUUGCACCUGUUAUCAAUCCUCUGAUAGGAACCAAGAGAGAUAUAUGUUAUUUCUGAGAAAAGUGAGGCUUCGAAAAGAUAAACAACCUCAUUGUGAUUCAAUGACUUGACGUUCAGCUCACAGUCUAGAAAAUGGCUAAGUGGCAAAACUGGUCUUCAGACUCAAGAAAUGUUCAGUAUUAUACAAUAGAGUGCAUUUGGUGUUUGCAGUCAUGGAAAUGGAAUGUGGGGUCUUAUUGGAAAUAAGCUACUCCAUACCAGACACGUAUUUUAAAAGAAGAAAUCAUGAUUCUUAGAAAAUCGGGUGUCAUGACUAUACAUUUAAAAUUCUGUCAAAAUCAGUAAAACAAAGUAAACAGCCAAUGUGUAUGCAAAUGCUUUACAUGAAUAGACUAUCUAGUCUCAAAUCCAAUAGCUGUUCCGGGAG